AUGAUGAAGAUACAGAUGCCCUUGACUUUUAAUUACAAUUUAAAGGUCAGAUAAGGGAGCUGUUAAUGAGGCAAUAAAAUAUCCACAAAUAAUGAAGGGUUUUGGCAUUAUCUGUUCCAGGGGGAGAUUGUUGGGAUUGAACCCUAUCAGAGGAAUAGAUAAUUAAAGCCAAAACUGGAUCAGAGCAGUGGAUUCUGUAUAAGCAGAUGUUGAUAUACAAAUCUCUCCCCUUGAAAGUGAUUACAACUACUGAUGACCUCCUAUCUGCUGAUCUUACCAAACUGCUGACUCAUAACUGCUGCUCAACUAAAGAUCUGAUGGAAGACUAAAGUCCUGCUGAUUCAAUCUACUGCCUUGAGUCAAGCACUGCUGAUCCGGACAAGUGCUGCUGGGUUCACAGCAGUAGAAGGUUGCAGCAGCUGUUCUAAAAUCUGUUUUGUAAUAGAAUGUAUUAGCAGUAGUUAGCACAAGCAGUGUCUGUAUAGAUCAAAGGUUAGAGUUUGUUAGGAGGUUAGAUGUCACUUUCAUGGUGACGUCAGCAAAGAUGCUCAGUAGCUUGCAACUCUUUGCAUCAUUCGUCUUCUUUGCAUGAACAAACUACUGAGCUCGGGCUGAGGGGGAGUUUGCAUUCAUACAUCUAUCUUUGUAAUCGUUGUUGAAAUUAAAUUCAAUCAUUCGGUUCAUAGUGUAAAAGAUGUUUGAUUAAAGUAUUACUCUCAUUUGAUUGUAUGCAAAGUUUGCUUUCAUUUUAAUUCCGCUGCACAACUCAUCCAUUUUCAUCUUAACUUCAAACACAAAAUACAAUCAAAAAGAAACUCAGAUCCAACAAAUCGAAUUAAGUCCCAUAAGGGCAUUUUGGUAAUUUUAAUGCUCAUAAAAGAGUUUAAAUGUUAAACUGAGUUUCAGGUCUGAUCUAAUCAGUAAAAAUAUGUAUUUUUAUAAUUUAUAAUAGUAGGGUAUUUUAUAUAUGUGAAAUUUAUCUUAUAUAACCAAACUAUACACCGUAGGGGCAUUUUGGUAAUUUCAUAUAAGUUUUAAAGGUCAAAAUAGACUUCUGAGUUUACAAACUUUGGCUUACUAUUUAAUUAUAUAAAUUAACUUAAAACAUCAGUAGGUAAUAGGUUUUAUAUGACAAAAAUAGUUUUGACCCAUACUAGGUGCAUACAACGCUUAAAAGUCGGUUUUAAGGGAUAUUCGGGUUAAAAUAGGAAAUCUGAGUUUUUGAUCAGUUUAUAAAGUUCAAAAUAUUUAUUUAUCAUAUAAAAUCAGUAGCAAAAAGUUUGACAUCAAAAUGUUAUGUAAAACUCAUUUAUGCAUGAAAAGGGUAAAACCGACAAUUACCGAAAUCAAGCUAUAAUCCUAUGUUAUGCU
rnacentral:lncRNA from 1 species